rnacentral:rRNA from 1 species
CCUACGGGAGGCAGCAGUGAGGAAUAUUGGUCAAUGGACGCAAGUCUGAACCAGCCAUGCCGCGUGCAGGAAGACGGCUCUAUGAGUUGUAAACUGCUUUUGUACGAGGGUAAACGCAGAUACGCGUAUCUGUCUGAAAGUAUCGUACGAAUAAGGAUCGGCUAACUCCGUGCCAGCAGCCGCGGUAAUACGGAGGAUUCAAGCGUUAUCCGGAUUUAUUGGGUUUAAAGGGUGCGUAGGCGGUAGGAUAAGUUAGAGGUGAAAUCCCGAGGCUCAACUUCGGAAUUGCCUCUGAUACUGUCCGGCUAGAGAGUAGUUGCGGUAGGCGGAAUGUAUGGUGUAGCGGUGAAAUGCUUAGAGAUCACACAGAACACCGAUUGCGAAGGCAGCUUACCAAGCUACUUCUGACGUUGAGGCACGAAAGCGUGGGGAGCAAACAGGAUUAGAUACCCGAGUAGUC